GAUGAACGCUGGCGGCGUGCCUAAUACAUGCAAGUCGAGCGAACGGACGAGAAGCUUGCUUCUCUGAUGUUAGCGGCGGACGGGUGAGUAACACGUGGAUAACCUACCUAUAAGACUGGGAUAACUUCGGGAAACCGGAGCUAAUACCGGAUAAUAUUUUGAACCGCAUGGUUCAAAAGUAAAAGACGGUCUUGCUGUCACUUAUAGAUGGAUCCGCGCUGCAUUAGCUAGUUGGUAAGGUAACGGCUUACCAAGGCAACGAUGCAUAGCCGACCUGAGAGGGUGAUCGGCCACACUGGAACUGAGACACGGUCCAGACUCCUACGGGUGGCAGCAGUAGGGAAUCUUCCGCAAUGGGCGAAAGCCUGACGGAGCAACGCCGCGUGAGUGAUGAAGGUCUUCGGAUCGUAAAACUCUGUUAUUAGGGAAGAACAUAUGUGUAAGUAACUGUGCACAUCUUGACGGUACCUAAUCAGAAAGCCACGGCUAACUACGUG
rnacentral:rRNA from 1 species